rnacentral:rRNA from 1 species
AGAGUUUGAUCAUGGCUCAGGAUGAACGCUGGCGGCGUGCCUAACACAUGCAAGUCGAACGAAGCAGAGGGGCGGAAUCUCUCCGGAGGGGAAGCCCCCCUGACUGAGUGGCGGACGGGUGAGUAACGCGUGGACAACCUACCCCGCACUGGGGGACAACAGCCGGAAACGGCUGCUAAUACCGCAUAUGCGCACGGCCCCGCAUGGGGCCGCGCGGAAAGCGCAUGCGGUGCGGGAUGGGUCCGCGUCUGAUUAGCUUGUUGGCGGGGUAACGGCCCACCAAGGCGACGAUCAGUAGCCGGCCUGAGAGGGUGGACGGCCACAUUGGGACUGAGACACGGCCCAGACUCCUACGGGAGGCAGCAGUGGGGGAUAUUGCACAAUGGGGGCAACCCUGAUGCAGCGACGCCGCGUGAGCGAUGGAGUACUUCGGUAUGUAAAGCUCUGUCAGCAGGGAAGAAAAUGACGGUACCUGACCAAGAAGCCCCGGCUAAAUACGUGCCAGCAGCCGCGGUAAUACGUAUGGGGCAAGCGUUAUCCGGAUUUACUGGGUGUAAAGGGAGCGUAAGCGGCAGGGCAAGCCUGAUGUGAAAACCCGGGGCUCAAC